rnacentral:miRNA from 1 species
UGUGUGUGUGUGUGUGUGUGUGUGUGGGUGUGGUACUUGAAAUAUUUAAACGAUAAAGUACAUCAAGUCACAAUUUGUGUCUGUCUGUGUGCGUCUAUGUUUGCUUGUGCCUAAUAGAACCCAAGUGACAAAGGCAUCCAAACACACACACACACACACACACACGCACACU